CACGUAGGCACCAAGCGUUGUCCGGAUUUAUUGGGCGUAAAGAGCUCGUAGGCGGUUGAGUAAGUCGGGUGUGAAAACCCGGGGCUCAACUCCGGGCCUGCAGCCGAUACGGGCAGACUAGAGUUCGGCAGGGGAGACUGGAAUUCCUGGUGUAGCGGUGAAAUGCGCAGAUAUCAGGAGGAACACCGGUGGCGAAGGCGGGUCUCUGGGCCGAUACUGACGCUGAGGAGCGAAAGCGUGGGGAGCGAACAGG
rnacentral:rRNA from 1 species